GCGACGAACUGGCCAGCGGUGGCGGGAAGAUGGAGGGUGCGAUGGUUAAUCUGAAUUAAUGGGCGUAAAGGGUGCGCAGGUGGCCGCUCAUGUGUAGUGUGAAAUCCCCGGGCUUAACUUGGGAAGUGCGCUCGAAACUACGGGGCUCGAGUGUGGCAGAGGAAGGUGGAAUUCCACGUGUAGCGGUGAAAUGCGUAGAGAUGUGGAGGAACACCGAUGGCGAAGGCAGCCUUCUGGGCCAACACUGACGCUCAUGCACGAAAGCGUGGGGAGCAAACAGGAUUAGAUACCCGAGUAGUC
rnacentral:rRNA from 1 species